rnacentral:tRNA from 1 species
CCGAGUGUGGCGCAGCUUGGUCAGCGCGCCUGGUUUGGGGCCAGGAUGUCGCAGGUUCAAAUCCUGCCACUCGGAC